CGGACGGGUGAGUAAUGUCUGGGAAACUGCCCGAUGGAGGGGGGUAACUACUGGAAACGGUAGCUAAUACCGCAUAACGUCGCAAGACCAAAGAGGGGGACCUUCGGGCCUCUUGCCAUCGGAUGUGCCCAGAUGGGAUUAGCUAGUAGGUGGGGUAACGGCUCACCUAGGCGACGAUCCCUAGCUGUCUGAGAGGAUGACCAGCCACACUGGAACUGAGACACGGUCCAG
rnacentral:rRNA from 1 species